UCAGGCCUAACACAUGCAAGUCGAGCGGCAGCGGGAAAGUAGCUUGCUACUUUUGCCGGCGAGAAGCGGACGGGUGAGUAAUGCCUGGGAAAUUGCCCAGUCGAGGGGGAUAACAGUUGGAAACGACUGCUAAUACCGCAUACGCCCUACGGGGGAAAGCAGGGGACCUUCGGGCCUUGCGCGAUUGGAUAUGCCCAGGUGGGAUUAGCUAGUUGGUGAGGUAAUGGCUCACCAAGGCGACGAUCCCUAGCUGGUCUGAGAGGAUGAUCAGCCACACUGGAACUGAGACACGGUCCAGACUCCUACGGGAGGCAGCAGUGGGGAAUAUUGCACAAUGGGGGAAACCCUGAUGCAGGCAAGGCGCGUGUGUGAAGAAGGCCUUCGGGU
rnacentral:rRNA from 1 species